ACUUCACUCAGCGUGAGUUUGUUUCUUCUGUGAACGGUCAAGCUGCCGUUUUUAAACUCGGUGUGUUAGCUUAGCAUCAGCACAACAGCCGUCCGCGGAUCGAUACAAGAGAGACUCCAGACCUUCAGUCACCUGUCCGCUACACGUACAGACGAACCUCUCCAGUCGUCUCCAUGGCACUAAGACGAGGACACAUCCGGUACCUGAAGGUGUGUGAGGUCCAGACGUCUCAGAGUGAUGUCAGAGACGGUCAGCACGCCACCAAAGGAGCCGCUGCAAAGGUGAAAGCUGCUCUCUGAUUGGCUGAAUCAGCUGUCAGACACAUUCAGUCCAUCCAGGAUUUUUCAGCUCCGUUUCCAAAGACAAAUUUAGUCUGAAGUGAAAGUAAAAU